rnacentral:rRNA from 1 species
AUUGAACGCUAGCGGGAUGCUUUACACAUGCAAGUCGAACGAGUGGCGGACGGGUGAGUAAUAUAUCGGAACGUGCCCAGUAGCCGGGGAUAACUACUCGAAAGAGUGGCUAAUACCGUAUACCAUUGGAGCGGCCGAUAUCGGAUUCGCUAGUUGGUGGGGGAAAGGCUCACCAAGGACAAGAUCCGUAGCUGGUUUGAGAGGACGACCAGCAAGACUGGACGGAGACACGGCCCAGACUCCUACGGGAGGCAGCGGUGGGGAAUUUUAGACAAUGGGGGAGACCCUGCUCCAGCCAGCCCGCGUGGAUUAGCACGCCUUCGGGUUGUAGAGUGCUAUUGGCAGUGUAGCGGUAUCUGCAGAAUAAGCACCGGCUAACUACGUGACAGCGGCCGCUGUAAUAC